rnacentral:sRNA from 1 species
GGUGGCGGGACAGGCUUCAUUGGGACAGCCCUAACCCAGCUGCUGAAUGCCAGAGGCCACGAAGUGACGUUGAUCUCCCGACACCCUGGGCCCGGCCGGAUCACGUGGGUAAGUCCAUCCUCUGGAAGCGGGUGGGAGGGCAGAGUUGGGCGGCGCAGAGCGGGGCAGCGGCACUGUGUGCUUUCUCCGACAGGAUGAGCUCGCUGCAUCGGGGCUGCCGAGCUGCGAUGCCGCCGUCAACCUGGCCGGAGAGAACAUCCUCAACCCUCUCCGAAGGUCAGCCCGGGCCCUAAAGCUGAUACCCACUAGAGCACAGGGAGGAAAGUGCCCCACUGAUGAGAACCUGUGAGCUAUGGCUUACUACCAGCCCAGUCUGACUGCGGAGUAUGAUGAAGACAGCCCAGGAGGAGACUUUGACUUUUUCUCCAACCUCGUAACCAAAUGGGAAGCUGCAGCCAGGCUUCCUGGAGAUCCUACACGCCAGGUGGUGGUGCGCUCAGGGGUUGUGCUGGGCCGUGGGGGUGGUGCCAUGGGCCACAUGCUGCUGCCCUUUCGCCUGGGCCUGGGGGGCCCCAUCGGCUCAGGCCACCAAUUCUUCCCCUGGAUACACAUUGGGGACCUGGCAGGAAUCCUGACCCAUGCCCUUGAAGCAAACCACGUGCACGGGGUCCUGAAUGGAGUGGCUCCAUCCUCCGCCACUAAUGCUGAGUUUGCCCAGACCUUGGGUGCUGCCCUGGGCCGCCGAGCCUUCAUCCCUCUCCCCAGCACUGUGGUGCAAGCUGUCUUUGGGCGAGAGCGUGCCAUCAUGCUGCUGGAGGGCCAGAAGGUGAUCCCACGGCGAACACUGGCCACUGGCUACCAGUAUUCCUUCCCAGAGCUAGGGGCUGCCUUAAAGGAAAUUGUAGCCUAAGUAGGUCGUGGCAAGGGCCUGAGGCCUGUCCCUCACAGGCUUCCAAGUUAGGCACUGUGAAUAGGCUCAGUUCCUCUAGAGAGCUGAAGCCAUCUGGUUCUUAGAUUCCUCUCCCAGUCCUCUUUCCCAUUGUUCUGUUGCUCCACCUUAUUGUCUCAAGGCCGUAAUCUCUUCAGGUUGGGACAUUAAUCUUUUCAACUCCUUGUAAGAUUUCCCAGUUUGGUUUCUCUCCAUGUCCUGCAGCUGCCCCACUUCUCCUUUACGCUGUGUAGAGAAUGCUCUGCAG